AAAACAAUCACAGUCCGCCUUAGCAAAGGAAGCGUCAAUAAAGAUUAUCCAAUCAGUGUUUAUGUCGGACCAGUUGUAACUGACUGAAGUCACCUUAACAAAAACAAAAAGGCUUUCAUUGUUUUCUAAUUCUAACCCUUUAACAAAACCCUUUUCCCAUGGAAGAACCCUAAAAAUAACCCUUUUCGUCAUUUUUUAUUCUUCCUUACUUCCUUCCGAUUUCUGCCGAUUUCUCAUCAAUUUCAUUCUAUUUUCGUGUGAUUUCUUUCUUAUGAGUAGCUAAUUAGGUUUUUAUAGGCCCUAGUGGCUACAGAUUGCUGUUUUUUUUAAUUGAUAUGGACUCAAUCAAUUGUUUAUGGAGGCGGAGAAAUUGAAGUUUCUGCAUCGAAAUCACUCCCUCACCCAAAUCAUCUUCAGCACGCUUAGUCUGGCAAUCACAGGGGAUUCUUUUCAUGGCUAAUACAGCAACAUGAAGAACUUCAACAAAAACAAGCUAAAGUGGAAGCUCAUUGGGAAGCCAUGCAACAACAACAAGAAGUUGAGGUUCAAAACCAUGAUCCAUUUUGCAUAUGACAAUUUGGAAGAAGUCCAGCCAGCUUUGGUGAAAGAAGGGAUGGAAUUAUGGUCUGAGGAUUCCUUAACUUCUUCUUCAACUGGUUCUCUAGCAUCAGAAGUUACAUUCACAGAUAUUCAGAGAGAGGCUGAUGAAGAGAUUGCAAGUCAAGAAGGAAGAAGCUCUCAUCUUGCAGCAUUUCAACAAGUACAUAACAUGCUUGACUUCUUAGACCAUACAUCCAUUUCUUGUCAACUUCCAGCUACAGAUAGUGUGCCAUCCUCAUCACUGAACAAGAUUAUUGGAACAACUGGAAUACAAUGGAGAAGUAUUUCAAUGAAGACAAAAAUUUGCCAGCAUCUAAAAGACUGAGGAUUAAUGAAGUUGGAAGAAACACUGAAGUAGCUGAGGGUAGAGAUGUUAUAGUUAUUGAGCCUUCUGUGAACUUCAUGGACCAUCCACAUAGAUGGUUAAAAGGCAAAUCCAGCUCAGAUGCAGAACAAGGAAGUGACAGCUCCCAUAAACCAGACACAAAAUGAACAUCCAUAUCUUACAACACAGCAUCUGGAAACCACUAGGGAUUAUAUGCUCUCUGUUUGUUUUCUCUCCUUCUUUCCUGCCUUGUAAUUAUUUGUAUCUUAUGUUUAUUUUGUUUCCAGUUUUUGCUUUUACUUCUUAGUUUAGAUUAUUUCCUUGUUUUUUGUACCUCUUAGUUUAUAGUGUGUAUUUCUGUUUUUUUGUUUCUCCUUUACUUCUGUAAUUCCUUUGUUGUAAUAUAAUUAUCCUUACUUUCUGUAA